rnacentral:tRNA from 1 species
UCGGUGAUUCAGUGGUAGAAUGCUCGCCUGCCACGCGGACGGCCCGGGUUCGAUCUCCGGCCGA